AAGGCUGCCUUAGAGGUAUGUCUGGCAUCAAUAUUUCAAGUGGGGAUACUAUGUUCACUAGAAAUGCCCAAAGAGCGCAUUGACAUUAGUGUUGCUAUCAAGCAGCUUCAUGCAGCAAGAGACAAGCUUCUACAGCACAGAUAGUAACCUAUGUCUCUGUUUCUCUGCUUUUCCUAUGUUUCUAUCUCUUCUUGAUGCCACAGAUUACUCCACACUUUUAUUUACACUCUUUAAUACCGCUCCACACUUUUAUUUACACCGUCACUAUAUAUUACUUGAAGUUUUUAUGUAAGGAGUGGUAUUUACUAUAUAAGUAAACUAUUAAAUUCGUGGAACAGUACUUUUGGCAAUUGUCUUGACCUUUUAGUUAUGCAGAGUAUGGAAUGGGUGGGGAGAUAUCUGCAGAAGGAGAUGUAUAUAGCUACGGAAUCUUUCUACUAGAGAUGUUUUAAGGGAAACGACCUACAUGUAGCAGCACGUUGCUGGACAAUAAUAAUAGUCUUCAUGACUAUGUGAGGAAAGCCCUCCCACAUAGGGUGAUGAACAUUGUUGACCCACGGAUCAUAAUAGAUAAAGAAGAUCAUGGUUUGAGAACAAAUCAGUCAUACAACAAGGCUGCCUUAGAGUUAUGCCUGGCAUCAAUAUUUCAAGUGGGGAUACUAUGUUCACUAGAAAUGCCCAAAGAGCGCAUGGACAUUAGUGUUGCUAUCAAGCAGCUUCAUGCAGCAAGAGACAAGCUUCUACAGCACAGAUAGUAACCUAUGUCUCUGCUUCUCUGCUUUUCCUAUGUUUCUAUCUCUUGAUACCACAGAUUGGGA
rnacentral:lncRNA from 1 species